UACGUAGGAUGCGAGCGUUAUCCGGAUUUAUUGGGUUUAAAGGGUGCGUAGGCGGGAUGCCAAGUCAGCGGUCAAAUACGGGGGCUCAACCUGCGUCCGCCGUUGAAACUGGCGUUCUUGAGUGGGCGAGAAGUACGCGGAAUGCGUGGUGUAGCGGUGAAAUGCAUAGAUAUCACGCAGAACCCCGAUUGCGAAGGCAGCGUACCGGCGCCCAACUGACGCUGAAGCACGAAAGCGUGGGUAUCGAACAGG
rnacentral:rRNA from 1 species